GGACAGAAUAAGGUCCUUUUUUUUGUUGUUGUUUCCCAAGGAUUAUUAGCUUGAAAGUUAAUAUCAUAUAUGGGCUGUGGCUUAUUGUCCUAUGAGAAAUAGAAGAACCAGCAAUAGAAGAGACCCAGAUCAAGUUUGACUGAAAGGCAAACACCAUUCCCAACUGGCUUUACCAUCUGUCUUUCCACAGAGACAACUCACAGGCUAUAAAGUGCUUGACAUUUCCCUGGC